rnacentral:tRNA from 1 species
GGGCGAGUAGCUCAGUUGGCUAGAGCAUCCGCUUUACACGCGAAAGGUCCGGGGUUCGAGUCCCCGCUCGCCCA